GAUGAACGCUGGCGGCGUGCCUAAUACAUGCAAGUCGAGCGAACAGACGAGGAGCUUGCUCCUCUGACGUUAGCGGCGGACGGGUGAGUAACACGUGGAUAACCUACCUAUAAGACUGGGAUAACUUCGGGAAACCGGAGCUAAUACCGGAUAAUAUAUUGAACCGCAUGGUUCAAUAGUGAAAGACGGUUUUGCUGUCACUUAUAGAUGGAUCCGCGCCGCAUUAGCUAGUUGGUAAGGUAACGGCUUACCAAGGCGACGAUGCGUAGCCGACCUGAGCGGGUGAUCGGCCACACUGGAGCUGAGACGCGGUCCAGACUCCUACGGGAGGCAGCAGUAGGGAAUCUUACGCAAUGGGCGAGAGCCUGGCGGAGCAACGCCGCGUGAGUGAUGAAGGUCUUCGGAUCGUAAAACUCUGUUAUUAGGGAAGAACAAAUGUGUAAGUAACUAUGCACGUCUUGACGGUACCUAGUCAGAAAGCCACGGCUAACUACGUG
rnacentral:rRNA from 1 species